AUAUUAUUGAAAAGUAACUGGAAGAGCAUUUUUAUUUUGUCUCGGAAAUAUUAAUACUAAUUAAGUAAACUCCCAAUAAAAAUGUUAUGAUAUCCAUAAAAGAAAAAUUAAAGACGGCGGAAAAUAAACUUUUCUUUGCACUUAAUUUCCACAAACAUGAAUAAAAGCCAGAGCCGCCCGAAAAAGUUAACAGAACUCUAAAACACUAACUUUUUCCUGGCCACUUCGGACUAAAGCAAAACACCAAAAAGAGCGACCAAAUCACAAACAAACAUUAAUUUGCAUAAUUUACUGUGGACACCCAAACAGAAAUGUGCCAGAAUUUCGCAGCCAGUAUUUUUAAACCAUUUCCAUUUCUUUACAUUCACUUUCUCCUUUGUGCGGGUUUGGGGUUCUUAAUGCAUAAUUUAACAGCAGCCAGAAAAGCCAGAGGCUAGGGACAAUAGGGGCGGGCGCGGCCCGGCAACAAGAGCCCAGGGAAGUUGGGAACAAUCAACAACUGCGUGUUGUUAUUCAAGGCACACGCACACCACCGACUUUCGCACACACACACACUCUCGCACACCCUAACCACCAGACGCCACACGGCGUAUACGCAACGUGAAUCAUGGAAGCGGGACAAGACUAACGAGGCCUAGGCUUGAAAAAAAUGUACAAAAAUCCGAGAAAAUUGGGGGAGUGGCGGCUGGUAGGUAUAGCGUAAAGGUAAUGAAGAGCAACAGAGCGGAGCCGUAAAGAAGCAAUUUUCCGCACACACAGAUUUUCCUUUUCAACUCAAAUUUCGUGGGGAUUUGGCUUUGUGGGCCUGGGUUUCCUUAACAGUUUUUCCACACAAUUUUAAACGGUUAAAUGUCACAAGUCAAGUAAUAGCACACGCGUCAUUUGGAAAUCAUUUUGACAUUUUAUUGUAUUUCUUUUCUGGUAACAGUAUAUUUUUCUUGUGUUUUCUCAAGGGCUGGAUUAUCUUAAAUGCAUAAAGGUGAUACGGUACGUUUGAGUACGAGCCAACAACUCGAACUACUAUUUACAACUCCGCUUGAGUGUAAGUUUCAAACUCGACUGAAGCGUUGAGCGGAUUGCGUUCGUCUUUUAAGCAUUUUUCCGCCACUCAACUUGAGACUCGUCGCCGCCUACACACGAGUCCUCGUCGAGUGAAUUUCCCGGACGAGUGGAAAGCCAGUUGCCUCUCUCUUGCGCUUCCCUUCUGCGGUUCGGUUUUCCCCGCGGCAUUCGCUCUUUGCCGUGCUCUCAAUGUCACUUGCAGGGCUCGGGCACCUGCUCUGGGCCAUAUUUCGUUGGUUGCGUUGAUGGCUUCUGGCUGGUGGCCAGGAGCGGUUCUCAUCUCACCCACACCGCGGGUUGGGCCCCCGCAAGGAACUUGAAAUUGAUACAUGAAUGUUUCAAUUAGGUGGAAUUUCAAAAUAUAGGAGAGUUACGGCAUUUUAGCUUAAGCCAAGCCGAAGCUCAUCUACUCGUAAUGUGGCCAAUAAAUGAAGCAACAAAUACCAAUUAGCGCCAACAGAAUUCGCCUGGCCGUGGUCUUAGCAGUAAAACAGGGCCAAAACCGAUGUAGAAAUGGCCAAGCAACAGUGGUAUAAAUGUAAAUACGAACUUUGGAGUAAAUGAGAGCCAUCAAGAGAGAGGAAGCUUCGAAUGCCGGCCCUCCCUAUUUGGUCUGCCCACGCAACUAUCCAUGGAGCCACCCAUUUCCCCCCCGGGCGACUUUCCUGGGCGCCCACGCAGACCAGCAGGUGACGCUGAUUCGACGACGUCCUCGAAGCGUUGGCGUUGCACUCAAAUGCGAAAAGCGACAGUAGAAGCUUUUCCGAGGGCGGAUAAUAAACAAAAAUAUGGCUCGUAUUUCCGACACCUGUCGUUGGGCGUUCUUGGUUAAAUUACUUAAUUGAAGGCUUUUCCCAAUAGAAAAUAAAUGUAGUUUUGGACAUGGUAUAUUUUA